rnacentral:rRNA from 1 species
GAUGAACGCUGGCGGCGUGCUUAACACAUGCAAGUCGAACGGUGAACGAGGGAGCUUGCUCCCUCCGGAUCAGUGGCGAACGGGUGAGUAACACGUGAGCAAUCUGCCCCGAACUCUGGGAUAAGCGCUGGAAACGGCGUCUAAUACCGGAUACGACGCGCGAAGGCAUCUUCUGCGCGUGGAAAGAAUUUCGGUUCGGGAUGAGCUCGCGGCCUAUCAGCUAGUUGGUGAGGUAACGGCUCACCAAGGCGACGACGGGUAGCCGGCCUGAGAGGGUGACCGGCAACACUGGGACGGAGACACGGCCCAGACUCCUGCGGGAGGCAGCAGUGGGGAAUAUUGCACAAUGGGCGCAAGCCUGAUGCAGCAACGCCGCGUGAGGGACGACGGCCUUCGGGUUGUAAACCUCUUUUAGUAGGGAAGAAGCGAAAGUGACGGUACCUGCAGAAAAAGCACCGGCUAACUACGUGCCAGCCGCCGCGGUAAAAC